CCUACGGGAGGCAGCAGUGGGGAAUACUGGACAAUGGGGGCAACCCUGAUCCAGCCAUGCCGCGUGUGUGAAGAAGGCCCUCGGGUUGUAAAGCACUUUCAGUGAGGAAGAACGCCUGGUGGUUAAUACCCAUCAGGAAAGACAUCACUCACAGAAGAAGCACCGGCUAACUCCGUGCCAGCAGCCGCGGUAAUACGGAGGGGUGCGAGCGUUAAUCGGAAUUACUGGGCGUAAAGCGCGCGUAGGUGGCUUGAUAAGCCGGUUGUGAAAGCCCCGGGCUCAACCUGGGAACGGCAUCCGGAACUGUCAAGCUAGAGUUCAGGAGAGGAAGGUAGAAUUCCCGGUGUAGCGGUGAAAUGCGUAGAGAUCGGGAGGAAUACCAGUGGCGAAGGCGGCCUUCUGGACUGACACUGACACUGAGGUGCGAAAGCGUGGGUAGCAAACAGGAUUAGAUACCCGAGUAGUC
rnacentral:rRNA from 1 species